rnacentral:rRNA from 1 species
UACGUAGGGGGCAAGCGUUGUCCGGAUUUAUUGGGCGUAAAGAGCGUGUAGGCGGCCAUGUAGGUCCGGUGUGAAAACUCGAGGCUCAACCUCGAGAUGCCGAUGGAAACCAUGUGGCUAGAGUCCGGAAGAGGAGAGUGGAAUUCCUGGUGUAGCGGUGAAAUGCGCAGAUAUCAGGAAGAACACCCGUGGCUAAGGCGGCUCUCUAGUACGGUACUGACGCUGAGACGCGAAAGCGUGGGGAGCGAACAGG